rnacentral:lncRNA from 10 species
UAAGUCUUCUUCAUCAUAACUGAAGUCCUAAGGCCAUCAGCUUACUUUCACCUGAGUCUUACAUAUUCUGGCUUCCACUUUGUUUUCAUUCGCCAUCCUUUACCUAAGCAUCUCAGUCAUCGCUACAGAAAAAUGUCCAGAUAUGCAAAAAGAUUAAAUGACCAAAACCCAACAGAGGUUGAAAACAAUAACAACACUUUUAGGUGCCCAGAAAUUUGAGUUAUCAAACAUGGAUUUUAGAAUACCUGUGAUUAUUAUUCAAGUAAGUAGAUGGUGAGAUGGUGAACUUCACCAGACAGCUAUAAUGCAUAAAAAGAAUCAAAUGGGAAUUAUGGAAAUCAAAAAUAAAAUAACCUAAAUUAAAAAAAUUGACGGAUGUGUUAAACAACAGGUUAAACAUGGUACAAGAAAGAAUUAGUGAACUGGAAAUGGACCAAUAGAAAAUAUCCAGCUGAAAUCACAGAGAGAAAUAAGCAAUUGCAAGUAGAAAAAGGCCAUAAUUGAAAAGACUACAAGAGAUAUACCAGACACCAUUUAAAAAAAUCUGACAAGUGUUAGUCUCCAAAGAGAAGAAAGAAAUAAUGUGUCAGAAGCAGUAUGUGAAGACAGACUAUGAAUUUUGCAAAACUGACAAAAGACAUAA